ensembl:snoRNA SNORA70 Small nucleolar RNA SNORA70
CUGCAGCUAGUUAACCUGACUUGUCCACCUCCCUGAUGGGGGCUUAGUGUGCAGUGUCUGCAAAAUGAAGAUUCCCUGGUUGUGUAUACACAUCGUUUCUUGAAUGUGUUGCUUUAAGGGUUCUUGAAGACAUUA